rnacentral:rRNA from 1 species
CCUACGGGGGGCAGCAGUGGGGAAUAUUGCACAAUGGGCGAAAGCCUGAUGCAGCAACGCCGCGUGAAGGAAGAAGGGUUUCCGCUCGUAAACUUGUAUCAACAGGGACGAAAGAAAUUACGGUACCUGAAUAAGAAGCCCCGGCUAACUACGUGCCAGCAGCCGAUGUAAUACGUAGGGGGCAAUCGUGAACCGGAAUUACUGGGUGUAAAGGGUGAGUAGGCGGCAUGGUAAGCCAGAUGUGAAAGCCUUGGGCUUAAACCGAGGAUUGCAUUUGGAACUGUCAAGCUAGAGUACAGGAGAGGAAGGCGGAAGUCCUGGUGUAGCGGUGAAAUGCGUAGAUAUUAGGAAGAACACCAGUGGCGAAGGCGGCUUUCUGGACUGAAACUGACGCUGAGGCACGAAAGCGUGGGGAGCGAACAGGAUUAGAUACCCUAGUAGUC